rnacentral:rRNA from 1 species
GAUGAACGCGGGCGGCGUGCCUAAUACAUGCAAGUAGAACGCUGAAGCUUGGUGCUUGCACCGAGCGGAUGAGUUGCGAACGGGUGAGUAACGCGUAGGUAACCUGCCUCUUAGCGGGGGAUAACUAUUGGAAACGAUAGCUAAUACCGCAUAAAAGACGAUAUCGCAUGAUAUUGAUUUGAAAGGUGCAAUUGCAUCACUAAGAGAUGGACCUGCGUUGUAUAAGCUAGUUGGUGAGGUAACGGCUCACCAAGGCGACGAUACAUAGCCGACCUGAGAGGGUGAUCGGCCACACUGGGACUGAGACACGGCCCAGACUCCUACGGGAGGCAGCAGUAGGGAAUCUUCGGCAAUGGGGGCAACCCUGACCGAGCAACGCCGCGUGAGUGAAGAAGGUUUUCGGAUCGUAAAGCUCUGUUGUAAGAGAAGAACGAGUGUGAGAGUGGAAAGUUCACACU